GAUGAACGCUAGCGGCAGGCCUAAUACAUGCAAGUCGAACGAGAUCCAGGAGCUUGCUUCUGGUGAAAGUGGCGCACGGGUGCGUAACGCGUGGGAAUCUACCCUUGGGUUCGGAAUAACAGUUGGAAACGACUGCUAAUACCGGAUGAUAUCGAAAGAUCAAAGAUUUAUCGCCCAGGGAUGAGCCCGCGUAGGAUUAG
rnacentral:rRNA from 1 species